rnacentral:rRNA from 5 species
CAAGGUUUCCGUAGGUGAACCUGCGGAAGGAUCAUCA